GACGAACGCUGGCGGCGUGCCUAAUACAUGCAAGUUGAGCGCUGAAGGUUGGUACUUGUACCAACUGGAUGAGCAGCGAACGGGUGAGUAACGCGUGGGGAAUCUGCCUUUGAGCGGGGGACAACAUUUGGAAACGAAUGCUAAUACCGCAUAAAAACUUUAAACACAAGUUUUAAGUUUGAAAGAUGCAAUUGCAUCACUCAAAGAUGAUCCCGCGUUGUAUUAGCUAGUUGGUGAGGUAAGGCUCACCAAGGCGAUGAUACAUAGCCGACCUGAGAGGGUGAUCGGCCACAUUGGGACUGAGACACGGCCCAAACUCCUACGGGAGGCAGCAGUAGGGAAUCUUCGGCAAUGGACGAAAGUCUGACCGAGCAACGCCGCGUGAGUGAAGAAGGUUGUCGGAUCGUAAAACUCUGUUGGUAGAGAAGAACGUUGGUGAGAGUGGAAAGCUCAUCAAGUGACGGUAACUACCCAGAAAGGGACGGCUAACUACGUG
rnacentral:rRNA from 1 species